rnacentral:rRNA from 1 species
CCCGGUGAUUAUUGGCAGGAGGCCACACCCGUUCCCAUUCCGAAUACGGCCGUUAAGCUCCUGAUCGCUGAUGAUACUGCAGUCUUACGACUGUGGGAAAGUAGGUUAUCGCCGGGU